GAUGAUUUAGUAGAUUGCCCCU
rnacentral:siRNA from 1 species